rnacentral:rRNA from 1 species
UGGUGGAGUGAUUUGUCUGGUUAAUUCCGUUAACGAACGAGACCUCGACCUGCUAAAUAGUUCUAGUCAUCUUCUGAUGGCUGGAUACUUCUUAGAGGGACUAUCGGUGGUUAGCCGAUGGAAGUUUGAGGCAAUAACA